UACGGAGGGGGCUAGCGUUGUUCGGAAUUACUGGGCGUAAAGCGCACGUAGGCGGCUUUGUAAGUUAGAGGUGAAAGCCCGGGGCUCAACUCCGGAAUUGCCUUUAAGACUGCAUCGCUAGAAUUGUGGAGAGGUAAGUGGAAUUCCGAGUGUAGAGGUGAAAUUCGUAGAUAUUCGGAAGAACACCAGUGGCGAAGGCGACUACCUGGCCCAUUCUUGACGCUGAGGCGGCGAAAGCUAGGGAGCGAACGGG
rnacentral:rRNA from 1 species